rnacentral:rRNA from 1 species
UACGUAGGGUGCAAGCGUUAAUCGGAAUUACUGGGCGUAAAGCGUGCGCAGGCGGUUUUGUAAGUCUGUCGUGAAAUCCCCCGGGCUCAACCUGGGAAUUGCGAUGGAGACUGCAAGGCUAGAAUCUGGCAGAGGGGGGGUAGAAUUCCACGUGUAGCAGUGAAAUGCGUAGAGAUGUGGAGGAACACCGAUGGCGAAGGCAGCCCCCUGGGUCAAGAUUGACGCUCAUGCACGAAAGCGUGGGGGAGCAAACGAGG